rnacentral:tRNA from 1 species
GUGGGUAUAGCUCAGUGGUAGAGCACGUGCUUAGCAUGCACGAGGUCCUAGGUUCAAUCCCUAGUACCUCCA